CCUACGGGAGGCAGCAGUGAGGAAUAUUGGUCAAUGGGCGGAAGCCUGAACCAGCCAAGUAGCGUGCAGGAUGACGGCCCUACGGGUUGUAAACUGCUUUUAUCCGGGAAUAACGCGCCUUACGUGUACGCCUUUGCAUGUACCGUAUGAAUAAGGACCGGCUAAUUCCCUGCCAGCAGCCGCGGUAAUACGGAGGGUCCGGGCGUUAUCCGGAUUUAUUGGGUUUAAAGGGAGGGUAGGCCGCAUUUCAAGCGUGCUGUGAAAGUUCCGGGCUCAACCCGGGACUUGCAGCGGAAACUGGCGUGCUUGAGUCCGCGGAAAGCAGGCGGAAUU
rnacentral:rRNA from 1 species